UUCGCCCUUAGAGUUUGAUCCUGGCUCAGGACGAACGCUGGCGGCGCGCCUAACACAUGCAAGUCGAACGGAGUCAAGAGGAGCUUGCUUUUCUUGACUUAGUGGCGAACGGGUGAGUAACGCGUGAGUAACCUGCCCUGGAGUGGGGGACAACAGUUGGAAACGACUGCUAAUACCGCAUAAGCCCACGGAUCCGCAUGGAUCUGCGGGAAAAGGAUUUAUUCGCUUCAGGAUGGACUCGCGUCCAAUUAGCUAGUUGGUGAGGUAACGGCCCACCAAGGCGACGAUUGGUAGCCGGACUGAGAGGUUGAACGGCCACAUUGGGACUGAGACACGGCCCAGACUCCUACGGGAGGCAGCAGUGGGGGAUAUUGCACAAUGGGGGAAACCCUGAUGCAGCGACGCCGCGUGGAGGAAGAAGGUUUUCGGAUUGUAAACUCCUGUCGUUAGGGACGAUAAUGACGGUACCUAACAAGAAAGCACCGGCUAACUACGUGCCAGCAGCCGCGGUAAAACGUAGGGUGCAAGCGUUGUCCGGAAUUACUGGGUGUAAAGGGAGCGCAGGCGGACCGGCAAGUUGGAAGUGAAAACUAUGGGCUCAACCCAUAAAUUGCUUUCAAAACUGUUUUUCUUGAGUAGUGCAGAGGUAGAUGGAAUUCCCGGUGUAGCGGUGGAAUGCGUAGAUAUCGGGAGGAACACCAGUGGCGAAGGCGGUCUACUGGGCACCAACUGACGCUGAGGCUCGAAAGCAUGGGUAGCAAACAGGAUUAGAUACCCUGGUAGUCCAUGCCGUAAACGAUGAUUACUAGGUAUCGGGGGAUUGAUCCCCUCAGUGCCGCAGUUAACACAAAUAAGUAAUCCACCUGGGGAGUACGACCGCAAGGUUGAAACUCAAAGGAAUUGACGGGGGCCCGCACAAGCAGUGGAGUAUGUGGUUUAAUUCGAAGCAACGCGAAGAACCUUACCAGGUCUUGACAUCCGAUGCAUAGCACAGAGAUGUGUGAAAUCCUUCGGGACAUCGAGACAGGUGGUGCAUGGUUGUCGUCAGCUCGUGUCGUGAGAUGUUGGGUUAAGUCCCGCAACGAGCGCAACCCUUAUUGCCAGUUACUACGUUAAGAGGACUCUGGCGAGACUGCCGUUGACAAAACGGAGGAAGGUGGGGAUGACGUCAAAUCAUCAUGCCCUUUAUGACCUGGGCUACACACGUACUACAAUGGCGUUAAACAAAGAGAAGCAAGACCGCGAGGUGGAGCAAAACUCAAAAACAACGUCUCAGUUCAGAUUGCAGGCUGCAACUCGCCUGCAUGAAGUCGGAAUUGCUAGUAAUCGCGGAUCAGCAUGCCGCGGUGAAUACGUUCCCGGGCCUUGCACUCACCGCCCGUCA
rnacentral:rRNA from 1 species